AUGCUCGCUUUGGCCAAUGUCGCUUUCCCACCCACAGUUUCGUCCUCUCCGGUUAAGAUGACAAGGAGGUUUUCUUGGAGAUGUCGAGCAGAACGGGUGUCAGCUGGGUACUCCCAGUUGGAGGUUAGAAAAGUCAGCUACCGACCUCCUGGAACUGAGCAAAACUUAUUGAAUCAAACUAGUCUCUCUCUCCAGGAGAAAAGUUUUGGUUUGAUAUUUGGACGGAGUGGGAGUGGAAAGACCACUCUUUUACAGCUUUUGGCCGGUCUAUCAGAACCUACCUCUGGUUCAAUUUGCAUUCAGAAGUAUGAUGAUAGUGGAAAUCCAAUUGGUCUGUCGGAAGUGUUAGCUCCUCAAAGAGUCGGUAUUGUAUUUCAGUUUCCUGAGAGGUACUUCUUAUCAGAUACUAUACUUGAGGAAGUUACUUUUGGAUGGCCAAGGCAAAAGGCAGACAUUCCUUUGAGGGAGCAACUCACUUUAAAACUUCAGAAUGCCAUUAACUCUGUUGGUCUAAGUGCCAUUUCAUUGGAUAAGGAUCCACAGUCUCUUAGUGGUGGGUUUAAGCGGCGACUUGCUUUGGCAAUUCAACUGGUUCAAACUCCUGAUUUAUUGUUGCUUGAUGAGCCCCUCGCUGGACUUGAUUGGAAAGCUCGGGCUGAUGUUGUGAAUCUCCUGAAGGACCUAAAGAAAGACCACACCAUACUGGUUGUAAGUCAUGACCUAAGAGAACUAUACCCGCUGGUAGACCGGUCCUGGAGAAUGGAAAUGGGGGGUGUUUUGAAGGAGGAACCUUUACCUGUAUAG
rnacentral:rRNA from 1 species